AAAAGUAGGAAGCUCCACAAAUUCUCAUNCUGUGCAGAUUGAUGAUGCAUCAAACAAUUUGUCUCCAUCAAUUUUAAGGUGCUUAUAAUCAUCUAUUUCUUCCACCUUGCUUUGUGAUUAUUUACAAGUUGUAAACUUUAUUUUAGUCUGUCACAUGUCUAUUUUACUUAAAUUAUUUUAUUUUCUGAGUUUCUGCUUUUAUUUCAUAUAUAUAUUUACUGGUGUUUUGGAAGACAACUGUACAUCAAGAACAUCUGCUAUAUGCCUUGAAGACUAUUGUGUUGGUGAGAAGAUCAGGAUUNUUUCUUUGCUGUCACAGUAAGUGUUCCCAUGACAUUUUUUUUAAAAUACAGUAUAUUAUUCUAUUGGUUUAUAGACCUUCAAUGUAUGAUUAUGUACUAGGGCAUUGUUGGUGGAAUUUCUGUCCUCUUGUCGACCACAAAUCUCUCCGCUAAAUUGACAAAAGUGGAAAGUAAGGUAAGCUUCGUUAGGAAAGUACAGUUAGGAAAGUACAGUCAGAAAUGUUGGAAUUUAAUUAGUAUUUUUAUAUUUUCUUCGAUAAUAUAUGUCAUUCCUAUGUCUCUAAAGUUAAAUCAUUUAUGUUAUCGGACUAUUGUCACAAAAUAUUUUAUUUUCAGUUAUACAAUAUUUUUUCAAUUUGGUGGUGUCAACAGUGGGUACUUUGUCUCACGAGGUUANUUGCAUGCUAUGUAAGUGGAUGAUUGCUCAACUUCUUAUGGUGCUUGAUUACUUGCAUGCUAAUCAUAUUCUUCAUCGUGAUGUCAAGGUUAGCUAAACAAAUCNUGUUAUGUUACCUAGUUUCAACAUGCUUUUUNUGUUCUAUGGAUUGAAUUUUGUCUCUUUGUCUUUUGUCAUGACUUUCUUAAUUGAUUAUCAGUUACAUGGCUAUCCAUAAUUACAUAUAUCUGUCCAAAAGCUCGAAAACUACUUGCAUUUACUAUUUUAUAUAUUUUUGGCAAACAUUGUUCUUUUAUAUAUAUAUAUACACUUGUCGUUUAUUUGUUUCAAACAUGAUAUAGAGGGCCUGAUUAACAAAAUUAACAAGUCCAUAGUGGCUCCAUUGCCAACAAAAUAUUUUGGUGUAUUGUAAGUGUUUGUUCUUUUGUCAUUUAGUUGUGAUGGCUUAUACUUUUAGUUAUUAAAUUGCUUUGCCAUGUCUUAAUGCUGUUAAAUGUGGAACUUUUGUUAUUUCCAUUUUCAUAGCAGAAGUCAGUACUAGAGGGAAAGCUAUUGUUGCUGAAAGGGAGAGCUGAGAAAGUGUAAUUCAAUACAACCUUGGAAACAAUGCAUACCUAGGCAGAGCAUGGAGAAAAAACGAUAAGCUCAUUAUUUUCAUUUCCUUUUAAUUGUAGUCAUAUACUUUUAUUAGUAAUGUACAUAACUUUAAUUAGCAUAGUAAAUAGUAGGAUAGAUAAUAUGCUCUUUUUUCAUAAAAAUAAAAAGAAUUAACUUUGAUCUA
rnacentral:lncRNA from 1 species